rnacentral:rRNA from 1 species
AUUGAACGCUGGCGGCAGGCCUAACACAUGCAAGUCGAGCGGAUGAAGGGAGCUUGCUCCUGGAUUCAGCGGCGGACGGGUGAGUAAUGCCUAGGAAUCUGCCUGGUAGUGGGGGAUAACGUCCGGAAACGGGCGCUAAUACCGCAUACGUCCUGAGGGAGAAAGUGGGGGAUCUUCGGACCUCACGCUAUCAGAUGAGCCUAGGUCGGAUUAGCUAGUUGGUGGGGUAAAGGCCUACCAAGGCGACGAUCCGUAACUGGUCUGAGAGGAUGAUCAGUCACACUGGAACAGAGACACGCUCCAGAGUCCUACGGGAGGGAGCAGUGUGGAAUAUUGUGCAAUGGGGGAAAGCCUGAGCCAGCGACGUCGCGUGUGUGAAGAAGGUCUUCGGAUUGUAAAGCACUUUAAGUUGGGAGGAAGGGCAGUAAGUUAAUACCUUGCUGUUUUGACGUUACCAACAGAAUAAGCACCGGCUAACUUCGUG